GGGGAUGUAUUGAAUCGACGUGACUUGUUCUUUGACAUCUGCAAGCCUCCGUUGAUCCAUCGGAGUUAAACAGGAUCAAAACAAAACUGUCAACAAACUAGUUGCCAGAGCAAGCGCUUUCCUUCGGGAAGCAUUUGCCCCAGUCGCUCCUGCUUACGCAGUAGCCUAAGAUUGGGCAUUCAUCCGCUGUUUUUCUCGGUGGGCGUGGAUGGGUGAAAACAAAGCCGAGAUGCGAUUGCGGCCUUGAAGCAGCCGCAGUUUAAGCACAACGCUUCGCCCCUUGCCUCACUGAUUUGGUGAUUAGUCAGGGCAAGGCACUUAUUAAUCACCUACGCUUGUAGAUGGUGUUGAAGAUUGAGUUGCGGACGCCGGGUCAUACUCGGCCAUCUCCACCC
rnacentral:tmRNA from 2 species